CAGCAGCCGCGGUAAUACGAAGGGGGCUAGCGUUGCUCGGAAUCACUGGGCGUAAAGGGUGCGUAGGCGGGUCUUUAAGUCAGGGGUGAAAUCCUGGAGCUCAACUCCAGAACUGCCUUUGAUACUGAAGAUCUUGAGUUCGGGAGAGGUGAGUGGAACUGCGAGUGUAGAGGUGAAAUUCGUAGAUAUUCGCAAGAACACCAGUGGCGAAGGCGGCUCACUGGCCCGAUACUGACGCUGAGGCACGAAAGCGUGGGGAGCAAACAGGAUUAGGUACCCCUGUAGUCCCUGUCUCUUAUAU
rnacentral:rRNA from 1 species